rnacentral:rRNA from 1 species
GACGAACGCUGGCGGCGUGCUUAACACAUGCAAGUCGAACGGUGAAGCGCCUUCCUUUUUGGUGGGUGUGGAUGAGUGGCGAACGGGUGAGUAACACGUGAGUAACCUGCCCCCUUCUUCUGGAUAACCGCAUGAAAGUGUGGCUAAUACGGGAUAUUCUGGGUCUGUCGCAUGAUGGGUCUGGGAAAGAUAUUGUUUCGGUGGGGGAUGGGCUCGCGGCCUAUCAGCUUGUUGGUGGGGUGAUGGCCUACCAAGGCGGUGACGGGUAGCCGGCCUGAGAGGGUGGACGGUCACACUGGGACUGAGACACGGACCAGACUCCUACGGGAGGCAGCAGUGAGGAAUAUUGCACAGUGGGAGCAAGCAUGAUGCAGCGACGCCGCGUGAGGGAUGGAGGCCUUCGGGUUGUGAACCUCUUUCGCCAGUGAAGCAGGCCUGCCUCGUUUGUGGGUGGGUUGACGGUAGCUGGAUAAGAAGCGCCGGCUAACUACGUG